UUCUACAUGUGUAUCUUUAUUUUAGCCAUCACACUCUUUGCCCCAACUGGACUACAUACUCAGUUCAGAAAAAAUAAAAUAAAUCUAUUAUCAGCAGGGCAAUGUGAAUGAUGAUAGAGACCUGACUACUUGUCCCAGCUCUCACUGGAGGUUGGGAUACAGGAGCUUCAAGCAAGAAGAGAACGUUUCCCCAGGCAAACAAGGAUACUGUGUUCUGAAGAGAAUGGUUGCAUAGACAGAGAUAAAUCCAAAGUGGUGACUUCAAAUCGAGAGUGGAUCUGCUCCUCAGAGGAACCUUGAGAAGGUCUGGAAAUAUUUUUGGUUGUCACAAGUGGGAGUUGUGAUUAACAUCUGGUGAACAGAGGCCAGGGAUGCUGCUAAGCAUGCUCUGAAGUGAAACAAAUGGAUACUGAGGAAGUUUUGUCAAGUAGAUGAUCCUCAGCUAUGGACUAUUAAUGGUCUAAUGAUCUUUGAGCUGUGAGAAAAAAAAUAAUAGGGUUGAAAAUGUUCAUAAAGUUAUAAAGGAUUUAAAAUUAUACUUCAA